AACGAACGCUGGCGGCAGGCCUAACACAUGCAAGUCGAGCGCCCCGCAAGGGGAGCGGCGGACGGGUGAGUAACGCGUGGGAAUUUUCCUCAAGGUACGGAACAACUCAGGGAAACUUGGGCUAAUACCGUAUGAUGUCUAGCGACCAAAGAUUUAUCGCCUUGGGAUAAGCCCGCGUCAGAUUAGGUAGUUGGUGGGGUAACGGCCUACCAAGCCUGCGAUCUGUAGCUGGUCUGAGAGGACGAUCAGCCACAUUGGGACUGAGACACGGCCCAAACUCCCACGGGAGGCAGCAGUGGGGAAUCUUGCGCAAUGGGCGAAAGCCUGACGCAGCCAUGCCGCGUGAAUAAUGAAGGUCUUAGGAUUGUAAAGUUCUUUCGCUCGUGACGAUGAUGACGGUAACGAGAGAAGAAGCCCCGGCUAACUUCGUGCCAGCCGCCGCUGUAA
rnacentral:rRNA from 1 species